UACGUAGGGGGCAAGCGUUGUCCGGAAUCAUUGGGCGUAAAGAGCGUGUAGGCGGCUCGAUAAGUCUGCUGUGAAGGUCCAGGGCUCAACCCUGGAAGGCCGGUGGAAACUGUCGGGCUAGAGUUCGGAAGAGGCGAGUGGAAUUCCCGGUGUAGCGGUGAAAUGCGCAGAUAUCGGGAGGAACACCAAUGGCGAAGGCAGCUCGCUGGGACGUUACUGACGCUGAGACGCGAAAGCGUGGGGAGCGAACAGG
rnacentral:rRNA from 1 species